UCGGGAAUCUUGGACAAUGGGCGCAAGCCUGAUCCAGCCAUGCCGCGUGGAUGAUGAAGGCCUUAGGGUUGUAAAAUCCUUUCGCCGAGGACGAUAAUGACGGUACUCGGAGAAGAAGCUCCGGCUAACUUCGUGCCAGCAGCCGCGGUAAUACGAAGGGGGCUAGCGUUGUUCGGAUUUACUGGGCGUAAAGCGCGUGUAGGCGGGUCGUUAAGUUGGGGGUGAAAUCCCGAGGCUCAACCUCGGAACUGCCUUCAAAACUGGCGACCUGGACCUAAGUAGAGGCAAGUGGAAUUGCGAGUGUAGAGGUGAAAUUCGUAGAUAUUCGCAGGAACACCAGUGGCGAAGGCGACUUGCUGGACUUAUGGUGACGCUGAGACGCGAAAGCGUGGGGAGCAAACAGGAUUAGAUACCCAUGUAGUCCCUGAGCGGGCUGGCAAGGCGCAU
rnacentral:rRNA from 1 species